GAGCUACAUCUUACCGCUUUGAGUCACGUUUUUAGUAACCAUUCAUGUUGAAUAUCCUAAGAGCUGGGGAAAAUACUACACAGACUGUGGAUAUGGAGUCACCUCUUUAAGCAAACUAGAUUCUACUAGGUUUAGUGUUUGCUUUUAGUGUGUGACAGGAAUAUUUGUAGAAAUGGUGAAUUUUAAAUGAAUGAGGGGGAUUGUUUAUGAAAAACAAGUUUUAUAUUAGUAAGUGAUAGGAUUUACAGCAGAAACCUAAUUCUAAAAGCUAAUGGGAGCUAAUCAAAAUAACCAGUACAACUUGAAUUUCAAAUACUCACAGCAAGCUGCUUGCAAACAAUAUAUAGACAAAGGACUGUUUUGUUUUGAACAAUGAAUUUUGAAUAGUGAAUACAUUCUAAAUAAGCCUAAAUGUUUUAUGGACAAUUCAUAGAAAGAAGUGAGCGUAGUCUUUUGGUGUCUGACAGCUACUGCAAUAUGUCCCCUUUCUUAUGCCCAUCUCACUCUAGCAAUCCUUCAUGCCCAGCUCUGCAUUAGUGAGUGGAAUACUGGUGGCCUGCUAUCCCAUCCAUAUUAUAUCAAUAUCCUCAUUUAAAGUCAGGCACUCUAGUUCACUCAUCUUAGUGUUCAGAUUUCUAGCAAGUGUGUAUGUAUAUAUAAGUCCGUUUCUCUUAUUGCCUAUCCCUUACAGCCCCAUGUGCCUGCAUGGCUUCUAUGGCUGCAAUAUAUUUCACUGAUAUAAACACUUUUCAUUAACUACCACUGUAUGUUCAAGGAAGCACUGCAAGCUCCAAAAAGGCAAAUUGAGUGUUUUCAAUUUCAUCUUGACUAUUAUGCCUGCUGUAUUGAGUACUGACUCAUAAGGAAGAAUGCCACCUACUGACUCGCGAGAUCUUUCUUAGUAGAAAGAAGAAACAUGAUGAUUAAAAAAAUUAAUGAAUAGAUUGGGGAGAAUACAGCAAAAUUUGCAUGAAGAUGAAAAUGCUAUCAGCUUGGUUGAGCUUAUGUAAGGCAGAUUCCUAUUGCCCUGCUCAUUGUCUAUAUUUCACUAAUAUACAGUAUAUAGAAUCCAGAACCCAUUUUUCUAGUUUCGAAUUCUUUCUUUUAGAUAAAGCAGACCUGUUGACAGUGCAAGUUGUUUUCUCAAAAGAGAGGUAAUCAGAUAUACCAGGUAAAGGAAUGCCACAGUGUUAGGGCUAUACUGGUUGUCCGUUAUAGGCAGUAUAAUACUGUUAUUACAGUUACAUCAAAGUAUUUUUGUAUCUGUUCAUUCUGCUUGGUUCCUCUUUCCUUAAAUAAUUCACUUGUUAAUUUAAUUGAGGUGUAUUAGAUUAACCAGUGCAGCUCAUUUAUUUUUGAAUGCAGCCCAUUAAUUUCUUAACAUUUCACCUCAUAUUUUUGAGUAUUUACUAAGCAAUGUAACCCACCGAUUUUGGGUAGUUUUUACUCAAGGAAGCCAUUGUAAGUCAUUGCCUUUAUAAACAGAUCCAUGUAUCCUGGUAUCUGAGUACUCCCUGUAUGUAGAAUACUGCAAAUGCCAUGGUUUUAAUUGCAACCAUUGGUACAGUGCAUUGACUGGCUUAUCUUUUUCCAUAAUGGGCUUUUAGGGCCUGAUCCAAAAUCUAUUGAAGUUACUGGAAAGACUGCUAUUGACUUCAAUAGGCUUUAAAUCAGGUUCUUUCUGAAUUAGGUACCUAAGUAAAUCAAUAAAUGU